GGGUGUCCGUUCAACGCGAAGAAAGGUGAUUGAACUUUUUGUUUUUUAUUAUUGAUAAAGAAAUACUGGCGCGUGCGCUUGAAUUUUGAUGCCAUAACGCCGGACGGUCCAAUUUUCGACCCAUGAACCAUUUAAGGUUUUCGCCUUAAUAACGGCAUUUCAUGUGAACGGUUUUUAACAGGGAGGGGGGUUACACUGCCUUGAUCAUUUGGUGGGAAGAAAGCGCGGGUUAUCAGGACGCUUCUUCUAGCGUUAAAAUACAAGCUCUUUAGCGUCGACGUAGUGGCGCACGCUAUCGUCUCAUUUUUUUAUUUUUUUUUCAGAUGAGCUCUACGACUGUCUUCUAGUUUCCAAAGAGCCAAACGUUUUAUUUGUUCCCUUUCCUCAUCGGGACUGACUGCGCAUGCGCUAUGAUUUCGCGUGCUCCUGUCACAACAUAGACGCUAGUGCUCAGAAAGCACCGCAUCAGGCAUGGCUGAAGAAAGUAACACUGGACACACGCCUCCUGUGUUUACCUUCGGCGACGGAGCAACGCCAGCACAAGCCAGGAAUUCUUCGAGGGCGCUUCAUGGACUUCCGACUGUUGCACUACGAUUUAUGACGACUCCUUCGAAGACCUGUGGAACGCGUUGAACAGCCACAAAGAUGCCACGGACGUCACUGCAAUUCUGACGACGCCUGGCGUUACCAAUGGCACACUCAGCAGAGGCCAAUAACCGACGGGACUUACAACGUCGACGGUGCGUAGGCAGUGGUCACUCGCCUUUACAACAUACAUGGAAGAUAGCUCCAACAUGUUGCGAGGCAGAAGUGUACUUAUUGCGUAUAAAGAGGCACGUUACCAGCA